GAUGAACGCUAGCGGCGGGCCUAAUACAUGCAAGUCGAGGGGUAUGGUUGAUUCGUCGGCCAGAGACCGGCGCACGGGUGCGUAACGCGUAUGCAAACUGCCCUUUACACGGGAAUAGCACUCCGAAAGGAGGAUUAAUACCCGAUGGUACUUAUGGAUGACAUCGGUUAUAAGUUAAAGAUGUAUCGGUAAAGGAUGGGCAUGCGUCUGAUUAGGUAGUUGGGGGGUAACGGCCCACCAAGGCGACGAUCAGUAGGGGUUCUGAGGGGAUGAUCACCCACACCGGUAAUGGGAGACGGACCGGACUGCGACGGGAGGCAGCAGGAAGGAAUAGUGGUCGAGUGGCGAGAGCCUGAACCAGCCACGCCGCGAGCAGGAAGAAGGCCCUACGGGUUGUAAACUGCUUUUAUACGGGAAGAACGUCCCCCUUGCGAGGGGGAGUGACGGUACCGUAGGAAUAAGCAUCGGCUAACUCCGUGCCAGCCGCCGCCGUAACAC
rnacentral:rRNA from 1 species